CCUACGGGAGGCAGCAGUGAGGAAUAUUGGUCAAUGGGCGCGAGCCUGAACCAGCCAAGUAGCGUGAAGGAUGACUGCCCUACGGGUUGUAAACUUCUUUUAUAAAGGAAUAAAGUGAGGCCCGUGUGCCUUUUUGUAUGUACUUUAUGGAUAAGGCUCGGCUAACCUCGGGCCAGCAGCCGCGGUAAUUCGGGGGAUCCGAGCGUUUUCCGGGUUUUUUGGGGUUAAAGGGAGCGUAGAUGGGUUGUUAAGGCAGGUGUUAAAGUUUGCGGCUCAACCGUAAAAUUGCAAUUGAAACUGGCAGUCUUGAGUACAGUUGAGGUAGGCGGAAUUCGUGGUGUAGCGGUGAAAUGCUUAGAUAUCACGAAGAACUCCGAUUGCGAAGGCAGCUUACUAAACUGCCACUGACAUUGAUGCUCGAAAGUGUGGGUAUCAAACAGGAUUAGAUACCCUGGUAGUC
rnacentral:rRNA from 1 species